UUGUUGGUAAGGUAACGGCUUACCAAGGCAACGAUGGGUAGGGGUCCUGAGAGGGAGAUCCCCCACACUGGUACUGAGACACGGACCAGACUCCUACGGGAGGCAGCAGUGAGGAAUAUUGGACAAUGGGCGCAAGCCUGAUCCAGCCAUGCCGCGUGCAGGAUGACGGUCCUAUGGAUUGUAAACUGCUUUUGUACAGGAAGAAACACUGGUUCGUGAACCAGCUUGACGGUACUGUAAGAAUAAGGAUCGGCUAACUCCGUGCCAGCAGCCGCGGUAAUACGGAGGAUCCAAGCGUUAUCCGGAAUCAUUGGGUUUAAAGGGUCCGUAGGCGGUUUAGUAAGUCAGUGGUGAAAGCCCAUCGCUCAACGGUGGAACGGCCAUUGAUACUGCUAGACUUGAAUUAUUAGGAAGUAACUAGAAUAUGUAGUGUAGCGGUGAAAUGCUUAGAGAUUACAUGGAAUACCAAUUGCGAAGGCAGGUUACUACUAAUGGAUUGACGCUGAUGGACGAAAGCGUGGGUAGCGAACAGGAUUAGAUACCCUGGUAGUCCACGCCGUAAACGAUGGAUACUAGCUGUUGGGCGCAAGUUCAGUGGCUAAGCGAAAGUGAUAAGUAUCCCACCUGGGGAGUACGUUCGCAAGAAUGAAACUCA
rnacentral:rRNA from 1 species